CCCUUCUUCCUUGCUAAUUUCAAUUGUCAUAAUUAAUUUUUAAACCUGUUAUCAACUUAAAGCAGUAUAAGAGAUAUUUUAGGUUCCUUACAUAUUCUCCAUUUGCCUUGCAAAAAACUAGAGUGUCAUCAGUAUACUAUAAAUAUGUGAUCUUUUCCAUCAUGUCUUCCUCAUCGAUGCCUUUUAUGAUAUCAUUUGAAGCUGCUCCUACCAUCAUCCUGGGCA
rnacentral:lncRNA from 1 species